rnacentral:tRNA from 1 species
GUUAGUGUAGCUUAACUGCAAAAAGCAAGGCACUGAAAAUGCCUAGAUGGGUAGGUUGACCCCAUGAACA